GGUAUAUUUUCAGUUCCCUUCUCCUUUCCCGACUCAAACAGAGCAAAAAUGAGAGAGAGGGAGAGAAAAUCUCCCCCGACGCCUCCUUGGAAUUCCCGACUCCAUCCCCGACCUAGUCGACCUAGCUCAAGCUCGACCUCUAGCCUCCGAUCUCUUCUUUCUCGAGCUCAAGCUCGGCCUCCACCUUCGAUCACCUCUGGCCUCCGAUCUUCUCUCCCUCGAUCUCCACUUCUCGAUCUCCAAUCUCGUCUCCUGCCCCCCCGAUCUCCACCUAUCUCCGAUCCCCAAUCCUUAGAUCAAGAGAAGAGGAAAGUGAAAGAUGUUGAACUGAAAGGGCACACAGAUAGUGUGGAUCAGUUGUGUUGGGAUCCUAAGCACAAUGACUUGGUCGUAACUGCGGCAGGAGACAAGACGUUCCGUCUAUAGGAUGCUCGUAGUGGAAAAUGCUCUCAACAGGUUGAACUCAGUGGAGAAAAUAUCAACAUCACUUUCAAACCUGAUGGUACUCAUCUAGCUGUUGGAAACAAGGGGGUGAAGGAUGCGAGAUUGAUGUUUUGAUGGGCUCUCUCUCUCUCUGUGUGUGUGUGGGGGGGC